UGGGGAAUAUUGGGCAAUGGGCGCAAGCCUGACCCAGCCACGCCGCGUGAGUGAUGAAGGCCUUCGGGUCGUAAAGCUCUGUGGGGAGGGACGAAAAAACGCUGGCCAAUAUCCAGCGGACUGACGGUACCUCCUUAGCAAGCACCGGCUAACUCUGUGCCAGCAGCCGCGGUAAUACAGAGGGUGCAAACGUUGCUCGGAAUCAUUGGGCGUAAAGCGCACGUAGGCGGCCCAGCAAGUGGGGAGUGAAAGCCCUCGGCUUAACCGAGGAAGUGCUUUCCAAACUACUGGGCUUGAAUACUGGAGAGGGUCGCGGAAUUCCCGGUGUAGAGGUGAAAUUCGUAGAUAUCGGGAGGAACACCAGUGGCGAAGGCGGCGACCUGGACAGAUAUUGACGCUGAGGUGCGAAAGCGUGGGGAGCAAACAG
rnacentral:rRNA from 1 species